UCUUCGCUGGACAAAGGACUCCAAAAGUCCGGUCAGAAAGAUAAAGUCAGGUCCAUUCUGAGGAAGGAAAUGGAUAAAGCUGGCGUCAAGGAUCCUCAAGUUCUGGACAAGUCUUACUGGAUCAAGAGAGUUGGUGAGGUAUGCUAGUGAGAGUUUACUAUCCUCUAUCUCUCUUCCCACUUCUUCACUUUGACUUCUCACUUUUUUUCUGCUUACAAUUUUUUUCCCAGCCUGGUUUGACUUCUCUGUUCCAACGGUUUGCAUACCAAUUCUUGCUCUGAAGUCUCAUUUUCCACUAGUACUACUUGCCAUGACUUCUCACAUCGCACUUGUCACCUCCUACUAUUGCUAUCUGUAAUGACCAGCCACGAGUGAAUCCAAACAUACCCUAAUUUAUUCAGUAAAGAGCGAAUUCAUCACGUGAUCAUGGAGAAAUACCAAUCACAACAUUCCUCCCCUCUAGAAUUACAGGUUAUUCAUCCAUAAACUCAUGUAAAUUGGAACAACUAAAUCAAAAACUAUUUGUCCUCUAUUUCAACCACAAUCCCUGUGAUAAAGUCACGAUUUAUACAGGUAGUCUUUCAGGUUUCCAGGUCUGGCCCUUUUCCGCACAGGGCGUGUCCCCAGAGAACUUGUUUUAACGGGUGUCUGAGUAGGUGGUGCCGGUGGAGAAUCAGGAACCUCAAGUUGGUCGCUAACACCAGGGGUGGGUGGUGUUGCAUCACACUCAGGCAAGACCACUGGUGUCACGCUGGGUGUCACGCUUGUAACUGGCUCCUCCGCCACAUCAUUCUCAUGGCUUCGAACAUGGCCUUGGUGCCGCCGGAUGACUGUUCCGUUGUUUAGCUGAACUCGAGCUGACACUGGACCAGUUUUCUCCACGACAGUCCCUGGGUCUAGGCCUUCUUGUUCCGGAAAUCCUUAGCAUAAACAGCCUGGCCCUCUAGAAUCUCCCUCUCCUUAGCAUGGUAAUCAUGUGUUGCCUUCUGCUGGGACUGUUUAUUCCUAACGCGAUUUGCUACGCUUGGAACAAGCUGAUUCAGC